rnacentral:rRNA from 1 species
CCUACGGGAGGCAGCAGUGAGGAAUAUUGGACAAUGGGCGCAAGCCUGAUCCAGCCAUGCCGCGUGCAGGAAGAAGCAUCUAUGGUGUGUAAACUGCUUUUGUACAGGAAGAAACACUCCCUCGUGAGGGAGCUUGACGGUACUGUAAGAAUAAGGACCGGCUAACUCCGUGCCAGCAGCCGCGGUAAUACGGAGGGUCCGAGCGUUAUCCGGAAUCAUUGGGUUUAAAGGGUCCGUAGGCGGUUUAAUAAGUCAGUGGUGAAAUCUGGUCGCUCAACGAUCAAACGGCCAUUGAUACUGUUAGACUUGAAUUAUAAGGAAGUAACUAGAAUAUGUAGUGUAGCGGUGAAAUGCUUAGAUAUUACAUGGAAUACCAAUUGCGAAGGCAGGUUACUACUUAUGGAUUGACGCUGAUGGACGAAAGCGUGGGGAGCGAACAGGAUUAGAUACCCUGGUAGUCCACGCCGUAAACGAUGGAUACUAGNUGUGUAGNAUAUGAGUGGNGUAGAGAAGUAGAGUAAGUAAGUACCACCGUCGGGAGGUACGGUUCGGUCGAAGAAAGUUAAGUAAAGUUAAAAGUUAAGUAAGUUAGUUAGGCGUGAGACGNGCGACGGACGACGACGAGGGAGGAGGAG